UAUAAUCUAGAUUUGCCAAGACGUGGUA
rnacentral:sRNA from 1 species